rnacentral:rRNA from 1 species
CCUACGGGGAGCAGCAGUGAGGAAUAUUGGUCAAUGGGCGUAAGCCUGAACCAGCCAAGUCGCGUGAGGGAUGAAGGUUCUAUGGAUCGUAAACCUCUUUUAUAAGGGAAUAAAGUGUGGGACGUGUCCUGUUUUGUAUGUACCUUAUGAAUAAGGAUCGGCUAACUCCGUGCCAGCAGCCGCGGUAAUACGGAGGAUCCGAGCGUUAUCCGGAUUUAUUGGGUUUAAAGGGUGCGUAGGCGGCCUUUUAAGUCAGCGGUGAAAGUCUGUGGCUAAACCAUAGAAUUGCCGUUGAAACUGGGAGGCUUGAGGAUGUUUGAGGCAGGCGGAAUGCGUGGUGUAGCGGUGAAAUGCUUAGAUAUCACGCAGAACCCCGAUGGCGAAGGCAGCCUGCCAAGCCAUGACUGACGCUGAUGCACGAAAGCGUGGGGAUCAAACAGGAUUAGAUACCCGAGUAGUC